AUUGAACGCUGGCGGCAUGCUUUACACAUGCAAGUCGAACGGUAGCAGGGAGCUUGCUCCGCUGACGAGUGGCGAACGGGUGAGUAAUGCGUCGGAACGUGCCGAGUAGUGGGGGAUAACGCAUCGAAAGGUGUGCUAAUACCGCAUACGAACUGAGGUUGAAAGUGGGGGACCUUCGGGCCUCACGCUAUUCGAGCGGCCGACGUCUGAUUAGCUAGUUGGUGAGGUAAAGGCUCACCAAGGCGACGAUCAGUAGCGGGUCUGAGAGGAUGAUCCGCCACACUGGGACUGAGACACGGACCAGACUCCUACGGGAGGCAGCAGUGGGGAAUUUUGGACAAUGGGCGCAAGCCUGAUCCAGCCAUGCCGCGUGUCUGAAGAAGGCCUUCGGGUUGUAAAGGACUUUUGUCCGGGAGCAAAUGCUGGUGGCUAACAUCCACUGGAGCUGAGAGUACCGGAAGAAUAAGCACCGGCUAACUACGUGCCAGCAGCCGCAGUAACAC
rnacentral:rRNA from 1 species